rnacentral:rRNA from 1 species
CAGCAGCCGCGGUAAUACCGGCGGCCCGAGUGGCGGCCACUAUUAUUGGGCUUAAAGCGUCCGUAGCCGGGUUGGGAAGUCCUCCGGGAAAUCUGGCCGCUUAACGGUCAGAAUGCCGGAGGAUACUCCCAGCCUAGGGAGCGGGAGAGGCCGAGGGUAUUCCCGGAGUAGGGGUGAAAUCCUAUAAUCCCGGGAGGACCACCUGUGGCGGAGGCGCUCGGCUGGAACGCGGCCGACGGUGAGGGACGAAGGCCAGGGGAGCAGACCGGAUUAGAUACCCGGGUAGUCCUGGCUGUAAACGAUGCGGACUUUGUGUCGGACAAGCUAUGAGCUUGUCCGGUGCCGGAGGGAAACCGUUAAGUCCGCCGCCUGGGGAGUACGGCCGCAAGGCUGAAACUUAAAGGAAUUGGCGGG